UCUGUGCUUCUGACUGGUGACUAUAAAUCAGGGUUCCCACAACUCCCUCUUUGGGUUUGCUUAAUUUGCUGGAGUGGCUCACAGAACUCAGGGAAACACUUACAUUUACUGGUUUAUUAUAAAAGAUGUUCCAAAGGCUACAGAGGAAGAGGACUGUGAACCCCGAGCAUUUGAGACAGGUCUCGGUAAAUUUAGAAAGCUUAUUUUACCAAGGUUGAGGAUGCACACCCAUGACACAGCCUCAGGAAGUGCUGACGUCAUGUGCCCAAGGAGGUCGGGGCACAGCUUGGUUUUAUGCAUUUCAGGGAGACGUGAGACAUCAAUCAAUAUAUGUAAGAAGUACAUUGGUUUGGUCUGGAAAGACAGGACAACUUGAAGCAAAGGCUGGAAGACUGCAAGCAGGGAGGAGGCUUCCCGGUCAUAGGGGUGCUGGUUACGUGGGAAUUUGAUUUGUCAAAACUGAUUGAAUGACACAGGUAAGAUCUGUGCAUUUGGCUAUGAGGAAAUUAUCUCUGAAAAAUAAAAGUCAGUAACUAACACAAUAUGCUGGAAGAUGAAAGGUAAUGAAGUAACUUGAAUGAGAGUUACUUUUCUUUAUAAAGAAAAGAGGUUUAAUUGACCCACAGUUCAGCAUGGCUGGGGAGGCCUCAGGAAACUUACAAUCGUGGUGGAAGAUGAAGGGGAAAGCAAGGCACCUUCUUCACAAGGUGGCAGGAGGGAGAAGUGCUGAGCGAAGGGAGAAGAGGCCCUUAUAAA
rnacentral:lncRNA from 10 species